UACGUAGGGGGAAGCGUUGUCCGGAUUUAUUGGGCGUAAAGAGCGUGUAGGCGGCCAGGUAGGUCUGCUGUGAAAACUCGAGGCUUAACCUCGAGAUGUCGGCGGAAACCAUCUGGCUAGAGUCCGGAAGAGGAGAAUGGAAUUCCCGGUGUAGCGGUGAAAUGCGCAGAUAUCGGGAAGAACACCCGUGGCGAAGGCGGUUCUCUGGGACGGUACUGACGCUGAGACGCGAAAGCGUGGGGAGCGAACAGG
rnacentral:rRNA from 1 species